rnacentral:rRNA from 1 species
UACGUAGGGUCGCAAGCGUUGUCCGGAAUUAUUGGGCGUAAAGAGCUCGUAGGCGGUGUGUCGCGUCGGCCGUGAAAACCUGCAGCUUAACUGUGGGCGUGCGGUCGAUACGGGCAUCACUGGAGUUCGGCAGGGGAGACUGGAAUUCCUGGUGUAGCGGUGAAAUGCGCAGAUAUCAGGAGGAACACCGGUGGCGAAGGCGGGUCUCUGGGCCGAUACUGACGCUGAGGAGCGAAAGCGUGGGGAGCGAACAGG